AUGUCCAAAAGGAAGAGGGUGAGUGCAGAUCCUCAAGGAGUACAAACUAGGUAUUUGGAAAAGGUAGCGAUACAUGUUAAAUCAGAUAGAUUAGCAGCCACAGAAAACACAGGCCCAACUAUACCACACUUCACCCCUACUCCACUGGCCAAACCCCUAUUAGAACUGCUGAGAGCCCAACAUCAGAUGAAUCUCCUUGCUCAAAGGAUCAUAGGAUCUCACAACAAUACUGGGCUCUGCAUUGCUCUUGUCAGUACCUCUUGCCCUUUGUCAGCAUACUACACCCAUUGUUGUUUGAUUAUGUAG
rnacentral:rRNA from 1 species